CCGGCCGCAGAUCGCACGCGAGCUGAUCGAGAUGUGCCGCGUGUGCACGAGCGUGACCCCCGACGAGCCGCAGGUGUGGCUGGGCUCGGACAAGGCCUUCACCUACGACUACGUGUUCGACAUGGGCACCACGCAGAGCCAGGUGUACGAGGCCUGCGUCAGCGGUCUCAUCGAGGGCUGCUUCGACGGCUACAACGCCACCGUCCUCGCUUACGGACAGACGGGCUCGGGCAAGACCUACACGAUGGGCACGGGGCUGGAGGUGGACGGCGGCGGCGACGUGGUGGGCAUCAUCCCCCGCGCCGUGGCACACCUCUUCCAGGGCAUCGACGAGCGGAGGGCGGCCGCGGCGGAGGCCGAGACCACGCCCCCAGAGUUCAAGGUCACCGCCCACUUCAUGGAGCUCUACAACGAGGAAGUCAUCGAUCUCUUCGAACCCAACUAUAGGCCCGGCAGCGGCAAGGGCGGCAUCCGCAUCCACGAGGACGCCGGCGGAGGGAUUUACGUGACGGGCAUCACCACCCGCACCGUGACCUCCCUCGACGAGACCAUGCAGUGCCUCCGGGCCGGGGCGCUCUCACGCACCACCGGAUCCACCAACAUGAACACGCAGUCUUCCAGGUCGCACGCCAUCUUCACCCUUCUCGUCCGCCAGCAGAGACUGGCGCCCAUUCAGGAUGCGGAUAGUACCGAGGAAGUGCCUGAGUUCGAGACGCUGACAGCCAAGUUCCAUUUCGUGGACCUUGCUGGCUCAGAGCGGCUCAAGCGCACGGGAGCCACUGGGGAGAGAGCCAGGGAAGGCAUAUCCAUCAACUGUGGACUUCUGGCCCUUGGAAAUGUGAUCUCAGCCCUAGGUGAUGUGAGCAAGAGAGCAACACACGUACCUUACAGAGACUCGAAGCUCACACGUUUGCUGCAGGAUUCACUUGGAGGCAACAGUAGAACAUUAAUGAUUGCCUGUGUCUCACCAAGUGACACAGACUUCAUGGAGACGUUAAACACCUUGAAAUAUGCCAAUCGAGCACGUAAUAUCAAGAACAAGAUUAUGGUUAAUCAGGAUAAGGCCAGUAAAGCCAUUGCAAUACUGAGGCAGGAAAUUCAACAGCUGAAACUGGAACUGAUGGAGUAUCAGCAGGGAAAACGCAUUGUUGGAGAGGAUGGAAUGGAAGCUAUCAAUGAUAUGUAUCAUGAGAACCAGAUGCUCUCCACUGAAACCAAUAAUUUGCGCACGAGAGUGAAGGCACUACAAGAGACUGUGGAAGUGUUGACACAGAAAAACACGAUGCUCUUAGCAGAGAAAGAAACAAGUGGAUGGGCCAGCUCUGGUGAAGACAAUGACAUGGCUACAGUUGUUCAAGGUUACUUGAAAGAGAUUGAAGACCUAAGAGCAAAAUUGUGUGAGAGUGAAAACCUUUGCCAGCAGCUCCGGAAGCAGCUCAAUAACCGAACCAAUACCCUUGGGAGAAUGUCCUUGUCUCCUCUACAUGUUCCAAUGUCUGGAUCAAUGUAUAGUGAAGUAGAGGAAGGCACACAGAGCUUUGCUGAGUUGAUUGAAGAGGCCAAGAGGGACUUGAACAAAGACCUACAGGUAGUUGAAAGGAAGAAGAGGAUAUCGGAAGGAUCGGGCUCUGCAGAUGAAGACGAAGAUGAAGCAGAGGCAGAGGAGAACGAGGAAGCUGAGAGUUCUGACGAAAGUGGAGAAGAUAAAGACGAAGAUGAGGAUUCUGAUUUAGAGGAAGUGGAGACAGAAAACAUAAACGAAGAACUGGCCGAGCUGACGAGCGAAAUAUCCAUCAAGCAGAAGUUGAUCGAAGGUCUCGAGCAGAGCCAGCGCCGCCUGGAGACCAUGAGACAGCAGUAUGAGGAUAAGCUGAAUGUGCUCAUGAACAGGAUCAAGGCCACACAAGAUGAGAGGGAUAAGGUGCUGGCUCACAUCAAGGGAAGCAGCAGUGCUGGAGAUGACAAGGUGAAACAAGUGAAACAAGAUUAUGAGAGGAAGAUUACCAACAUGCAGCAAGAAAUGAAGAAGCUUCAAGCCGCCCAGAAGGAACAUUCCAAACUGAUGAGGGAACGGUCACAGCAUGAGAGGCAGCUAAGGACUCUCAAGGGAGAUUUGGCGGAGAUGAAGAAAACGAAAGUUAAGCUCAUGAACAAGAUGAAGGAGGAUAGCAGCCGGGCUAAGCAGGAUCAGCUGAAGAAAAACAAAGAGAUCGCCCAACUGAGGAAAGCCUCACGCAAGCAGGAGACAUACAUCAAGAGCUUGGAGGCAGAGAACCGGCUGAAGAAUGUCGUGCUAAAACGCAAGACUGAAGAACUUGCCGUGCUGAAGAGAGCGCCAAGACAAGGCCUCAGUAAUAAGGCUGCUGGAAGGCUUAACAGAAGGGGUGUUAUGGGACAACAGCAAGUUUCCUUCUCUCCCAAGGUGGCUAAACAGAAGUGGCAGAAUAUUGAACAAACCAUCAACAAGGUUGCUUACAACAAGCAGACUGUCAGUAGCAUGGAGAGAGAUAUGGAAAGAUGGUUGAAAGAGCGUGAGUCCCUGAGCAGACAGCUUGAGAGAGUGAUGAGGAAGAGAGAGCGACUGGACCCGGCAGACAUCGCCAGCUAUAAUGAUCUGAAUGACCAAGUUGAAGCUCUUAAGGCCAAUAUUGACUAUAUCCAUGAGAACAUUCAGGAAUGCCAGGAGAACAUCAUGAGUAUGGAAGAGAGCAAGGAAUCAUCAGAUCUCUUGCAAACAGGAACUGUCACAAGCAGCUUAAACUUGGAUGAAUCACACUACCUCAUUAGCAAGCUCAUUAAUAUGACAAUAAACCAAGCAACAAUAGCAGCUCAGAGACAAGCUUCAAUAUCUGAACUGGAGGGCAAGAUGAAGCAGAUGGAACAAACAACAAGUGUCCAGGAACAGCUCUUGGCUCAUGUUCUGGGAGACAAAGACCUCGAAGUUUACAGUCUCAUGUCGUCCCUUGUGGCGGCCGAGGACAACACUCCAGCAUCCACAGAGUCCUCUAGAUCAAAUUCUCCUACAGAUGGCCUGAUGGAGUCAUCUGCCACUUCGCUAGUCUUCUCCUCCGAUUCCCUAAAAAGGCGAGACAAAGCGCGGCGCAAGACUGCAACGACGGAAGACAUGCUCUUCACCAACGGAUCAGAGAAAAAUGGGAAUGCAAGCGGCACGGAUACCAGUGCAAACACCACCCCAGCUGGAACCAUAGUCGGUGCAACUUCGAUAGCAGUCCUUGAACGUCUAGCGGCAGAACGCAGUAGUGCAGAACGCAUGUCUUCAAGUCUGGCAAUGGAUCGUAUGGCGACGAGCUUGGAAGGAGAUGAUGGUCUACUAAUGCCACCUCCUAGCCAUAGGGCAGUCCCCAGAGUCACUUCAGCUCCAAAUCCUCUUAAGAAUCUGAUGACCUAUCGGCCUGACAAAGCAUCACCCAUUCUUAGUCGCAAGACAUAUGACCGCCAAGAUUCCACUUCUCCCCGACUGGGUAGAAGGUCCCUCACCUCUCUUAGCACCUCUAACCUAAAUUAUUCACGGCAAAAUUCUGCAGAUAAUAACCCAGAAAUGACCCCACCAACAUCUCCCACCACUUACCGGCGAUCAACAUCUCGAGAGGAGAAUGUUUUCUCACGUUUAACUUCAACCACCUCUUCCACGCGGGAGGCUCGACCAGACACGGGCAUUAUUAACCCACACUCUGGGAGGGUAAGCCAGCGAUCAGUGCUGGCUUGUACACAUGUGGCUCAGGGGCACUCAAAAGCUGUGUUGUCAGUCUAUGCUACUGAUGACCUGCUCUUCUCUGCAUCCAAAGAUCGUACAGUUAAGGUAUGGGACUUGGUACGAGGCCAAGAGAUUCAAUCUUUAGGCGGUCAUCCCAACAAUGUGAAUUGUGUUAGGUACUGUGAAUCACAGAGGAUUUGCUACUCUGUUUCAUCGUCAUUUAUAAAGGUCUGGGAUAUUCGAGAAAAUCCAGCAAAGUGUGUCAAGACUCUCAGUUCAGCGGGAUUAACUUCCUCUGGGCCAAUGCAAUCAAGCACUCAGUCACGAACACUUCAGAUGCCUCCUGGAGAGACACUCAUCACGGACAUAGCUGCGUCCACCUCUACUAAUAUUCUCUACUCAGCCGCUGGCAAUAUUGUUAGAAUAUGGGACUUGAGAAAGCACACAGCUGUAGGAAAGCUUGCAGGGGGUCACCAGGCAGCAGUCAUGUGUCUGGCUGUGGACUCCACUGUUCCAGGCCAGGAUGUGAUUGCAACAGGUUCCAAAGAUCAUUACAUCAAGGUAUUUGACAUCUCAGGAAACACAACUGGUUUAGUCAAUCCUAGAAUAAACCUGGAUCCCCCACACUAUGACGGUAUACAGUCCUUGGCUCUCUAUGGUGACAUGCUGUUCUCUGGCUCGCGGGAUAUGUGCAUCAAGAAGUGGGAUCUGCAGAGAGGAGAGCUUGUACAGUCGAUGAAUAAUGCACACAAGGACUGGGUGUGUGCAUUGUGUUUCACUCCAGGAGGACAGAUUGUAUUGUCAGGUUGUCGAGGAGGUGUGAUUAAGAUGUGGUCUACCGAGAGUUGCCAGUUGAUUGGUGAACUCCGAGCUCAUGCAUCUCCAAUUAAUGCCAUUACCACUAAUUCUACGUGCAUUUUCACAGCAUCAAAUGAGGGAGACAUACGGGUUUGGAGGCCCCUUGUGGGUGUCGCAGCUGGGAGAACCUUUGAGCUAUCCCUCUAAUUUCUCUCCGGCAACGAGCUAUAGAAAAAAGUGAAGUAAAGGUUCAAUGUGCAUGAAGAAGUGACUCUGUAAUCAAUGAUUGUACCAUUGGUAUGUGGAGGAUGAGGACAAGUUACGAUGUUUCACCGGAGUUAUCGGAUGCUUCGUGAUGCGUUUUCUUUAGGGUCUAUUCUUAAGAAUGUCUCAGGCAGCUCCGAUGUAUGUCCUCAUUAUUUUACAUGUGCGAAAGAACUUGUAUUUAUUAUUAUUUUUACAUUGGGAAUGCAUCAUCAGAAAAUGUGAAUUCUGAGAAUCCUGUCAGUUUUAUUGUACACACAUUGUAGUUGUGGAUUUUGAUUUUUAAGGUUAGGAACUUUUAGAAAGAAGAAAAAUAAUGCCUUGAUUUGUGCAUUUCUUGCAUUUUAAAUAUCUGAAACCUACAUGAUCUGGGUUACCUUUGUUUCUAAGAUCAAUUUUUUUUUUCUCUUUUUUAACAUUGCUGAGUGAAUUAUCUUGAAACUAGGAAAUUAUUUGUGUGAUACUUAUGCAGAUUGUAUAUGUACUUUUAAAAGUAACUGAUAGAAAGAAAUAUAAUGUUCUAGUGGAUAUUUGUUCUUCAUAAAUUUUAUAGAUCAUUAUAAGUAGUAUAUGACAUCUAAUGAAAGUUAAAUGCAAAAUGAUUUAAAAUGCAGUUAUUAUAUCAGCAGCAUUCCUCCACGACAUAUAUAUAUAUAUGGCUUACAUUUCUUCAUUGUUGCAAUUGUACCUCUGGUAGUUGCAUUAAAACUCAUUCAAAAAUAGGUAGGAGUCAACUCAGUACAGGAAGAUAAAUACAGUUCACUUUCUUUGUUAAUGAAUAACUUUUAAGCAGUUUGAUCCCAAAUUUAUUGCACAUAGCCUUUUGCCAGGUACAGCACUUGCGUUUAUCUAGCUUAAGGAAAGAUAAAUAAAACAAAGGCCAUGUUAUGAUAUAAGUGUGAAGGUGAAAACUGUUGUGCUAUAAUUAGCAUCAGUGUAAUAAUGAUGUAGUGAUGAUAAAAGGGUUAAUGUUUGCAUGCAGGUCCUCAGGCAAUGGUCAAACGAUGCCAUGAUGACUGCACCAACAUUCCCAUUAUUGCCAUUCCAAUGCUUGAGUUAUAUAGGUUGUGAUCUUCCCAUAGGUGGAGGCAGGCAGGCAUGAUGGUCGCCAGUUCUCGGUUAUCUGUUUAAAGCCCACAAACAAGAUGAAAAUGCUUGUGAUUUAUCCAAUAUCAUCAUCUUUUGAUAUUUUGUACAUGUUAGAAAGAAAGCUUAUGGUGCAGAAGAGAAUAUUAUAAGCUUAUUUUGUCAGGUGAUCAAGUAGAGUUUCACAUUCUUUCGCCAUCAUGUUCUGAAUCCUCACCCGUUUUAUGCUGGAAUAUGCACCCACCCCCCCUUUUUUUUAAGAUAAGGAUCUAGCUUUACAAUUUACAGGAAUCUGUCAAAAUACCAAAUUGGUAUACUGUGUGCUAUAGAUGUAAGUGUCUUACACAUCUGUCUUGCUAUGUAUCUGUAUAUAUGUAUACAUUUCUUUUUAAUGCUGACCUUUGUACAGUCUUUCUGUUUUCAUUUGUUUUCGGUUUCUUUGCCGUUUUUGUCUUUUUUUCUGGACAUUUUUCCAAGGAUUUUUUUUUUUCUUACUUUUUCUUCUCAGUUGAACCGAAGAUGGAGAAAUAAUUUCUUGUUUUAUAGAUAGAAGGAAAGUGUUCAUACAUUAUGCUCAUUAUUUUAACUUUUAGUAUUAUGGCUAAAGGUCAUGUAUAUUUUUUUUUGUAUGUAACCCAGUAUGCAAGAACCUUUUUGUGUGUGUGUGUGAGUGCAUGUGUACAUGCAUGCAUUCCUGCAUGUGUGUAUGUUUUUAUUUUUAUUUUUUUUUCUACUUCUCACCAUUUAUUAGUGGGAACAACAUGCAUACCUGUGACUGACUAUAAGAACAGUGUCUAGUGCUGUGAUAGCUAGGAUUGCUACAGUGGUUAUGUUAGUAGGAGUGGUUAUGUUAGCAUCAGAAAUUUUUGGUUAAUGGAUAUUGCAGAAUGUUCCUGCAUUGUUCCACCUUCAGAUUAUUUAUAAUGAAUUUAUCUAGGAGUAUUUCAUCACACAGUUAUGGUCGACUCUGGUGAUCAAUCAAAUUCAUGUCUGGAUCCAUCAAUGCCCAAUCGAGAUUAUCUGUUACAAAUGAAAUCAAGUGAAAUCGAAUUAUUGGAAAAUGGUGAAUACUUAGUAAAAACGUGCCUUAGAAAGCAAAAUCAUUUUCUUUUAAGCUGAAAAACAAAAUCGCACUUCCAUUCCAGAGAGAUUACAUUGUUUUAAGCCAACUGUGAUAGACAAGUUGAUGCCCUUAGUUCUAUACUUGCUUGUCAGUGUGAUAUGGUUUUAACAUCAAUAUAUAAGGGUUGGAAUGGAUUAAUAUGUAAAAAAAAAAGAUAGAUACCAUAUAUAUGUAUAUGUGUAUGUAAUCCAGAGCCUGCUAUAGCUUCUAGUUCUCAAUAUACAGGUUAUGUUUUAAAGAAAUUAGAAAUGCAGUUUCAGUAUGGCAGCAGAUAUCUUCAUGGACUAUUUGCAAGUAAAUAACUACAGAAUGGCAGAAAUGACUCAUGAAUCUGGUAAAGAAAUGAAGUAUGCAAUGAAAAAAAUAUAGUAGUAUUAUUCUGUUCAUUAGUAUUAAAUGUUAGCAUCGACGUAGUAUCAUUAUAUCUGAUUCAAAAACCUUAUCUGGUAGGCAGCAUUGUUUCCUGAUUGCAGCUGCUAUAGUUCAAUAAGCUUUCAAAUCAUCUCAACAUUGUGGAGGAGCUUAUCAUCUUAGAAGACUGCCACUCUGUUUUAUUUCCAUUUAUCAAACACUUACAAUUUUCUUAAUUCAUCGCAAAGAAACCUUUUAAUUCCAUAUUAUACUUGGUCUGAUAUCAUGCGGAGAGCGCAAAGCUUCGCUGCAUCCCACGCAUUGUACACGUAUGUCUUUUUCAGAUAAUGGCCCUUUGAAGGGAUAAUUUGAAAGGAAUUUCAGAUAUAACUUGUCAUUUUUGAUUGUGUGAGUUGGGAUGGUAUUAACAUAACAUAACCCACCAUGAACUUGUCACAUGUAAAUACUGUGAAAUGUUCUGUGCAGAGAGUAUUUUUAUAUGAAAGCAAACAGAAUGAAGCAGUCACCCAUUCGCUAUGCUCUACCCAGAACAAGUAGAUAUGUUGUGUAAUAUGUACUAAUAAAAUUAUUAAAUAUG
rnacentral:misc_RNA from 1 species